AUUUCCUAACUGAAUGUGACAUUUGUCCAUAUGCUUGCACAUAUAGUUGACAUGUAUUAAUAACACCACUGAGGUUGUAAACGUUAGGUCUAUGGGUCAUUGUGAUCAUGGUGUCUUUAAAAUUGGACCAUUCUCUCCAAUAAGAAUCUCAUGCAAAUGGACAGAACAAUGUUACAGAAAAAACUAUACUAAGAGACAUGUAUAGCCUAGUGUAGGUCUAGCCUACUGAUAAGGUCCGCAUUUUUACAACUAAAGCUACUGGCUACCAUUUAUUAUCUCAUUCUAAAAUACAUCCUCUACAGGACUUUUGUUGUGAAAGAUGGGUUUUUAUGUCUCUCCUUCGUAAGGUGACGUCACGCUCAUGAAAUUGACAGGCCACCUGUGGGGACGAAUCGGGAUUUAAAUGGAUAUGGCCAUCAUAAAAACUGUAGGUUGUGAUACGGCACAUGGCAGAAAGAUGCACAGUCAAUACUUUCGAUUCCAGUUCCAGAGGCGGCGCAGACAGCAUCUGCAAGAUGUAUACGUGGGACGACUGGUCAAACCGCAAUAGUUCAUGUCGGGAGGGAUGCUGAUCAUAUCAACAGCAAACAGAUGUAUUUCAUAUCAAAUUAAGCCCGUUGGAUUGUACAAUAGCAACCAUCUUCUAUUUGAUAAAGAUACCCAGCAGGGUAAGUGCAUAUUUACCAAAUCCCCUUCUGUUGGCACCCUCAGAUAGCUAGCUGCUUUCUGUGUAACACAUUUUACCUCUAAUUUGGAUUUAUAAUGUUUAUAAAGUGGGACCAUUGUUGGCUUCCCUUUGUGGAAUGAUUGGCCAUCAUGUCCAUUGUAAUUUAAAGGUAUAAGAAAUAAUAUUCUUAAAUAAUCUUUGUGUAACCAGUAAUAUUGACAUCUUCAGACAGGAGCUCACCAUGCAGUGGUGUUUUAUCCCUCUUGGCAGCUAACCUCAGAAAGAGGGCAAUCUGACAUUUUAAGGAGUACCUCCACAUGAAACCUCCCCUUUUUGAGGCUUUUAAAGAAAAAUAAAGAAUGAAUAGCACCGUAGGGACAUUUUAUUGACAUCAAAACAUUGCAGAAUCUGUGUAAAGCGGGAGCCAUUUGUCGCUGUAUUUGAAGUGCAAUCACAAUCAGCAUGCAUUGGCAGUGACAAUGCUAUUCCUCCCUGCCCCCUCCAGUGAUCCCCCAUGGAGCAGCAGGGAGACUGAGACCCCUGUUUGAUCUGGCCUUGUUACUGGCGUCUGAAGGAUGAACGCUCUGCUCCGCACAACACAAAAUGAUCCAGGGUGAGAGAGAGAGCUUGCAAAAUCUU
rnacentral:lncRNA from 1 species